rnacentral:rRNA from 1 species
GACGAACCGUGCGAACGUUGUUCGGAAUCACUGGGCUUAAAGGGCGCGUAGGCGGGUCAUCAAGUCAGGGGUGAAAUACUUCGGCUUAACCGGGGAACUGCGUCUGAUACUGGAUGGCUUGAGUUCGGGAGAGGGAUGCGGAAUUCCAGGUGUAGCGGUGAAAUGCGUAGAUAUCUGGAGGAACACCGGUGGCGAAGGCGGCAUCCUGGACCGACACUGACGCUGAUGAGCGAAAGCCAGGGGAGCAAACGGG